GGUCCUCUGCUCUCAGAAAGGAAAGUUUAGGUGAUGGAUGAAAAUAAGGCCAUUGGCGUUUAGUUCUUGUACAAGCUAGAAAGUGUCAGUGGACACAGGAUGAGCUUUUAAUGUUGAAUUUGUUCUUCUGGGUUCUUGUUUCACAUCGCCUGUUACAGUCUCUUGCUUACUUUUGGACUUGGACAGGCCUAAUCUGCGAAGAUAAUUAAAGUUCCUCUACUCUGGAUGCUAGCCGCGGGCCGGCCCGGCCAUGUCCCCGCUGCCGGAGGCGGAGCUGGUGCGCAGCUCACUACAGCUGUACCGGUACCUGCUGCGCUGCUGCCGCCGCCUGCCCCAGGGCCCCAUCCGGCAGCACUACAGACACGCCAUCAGGCAGAGUUUCAAAGUCCAUGCUGAUGAAGAUGAUCCUGAGCGAAUCCAGCAGAUCAUUAAGAGAGCCAUUGAAGAUGCUGAUUGGGUGAUGAAUAAAUAUAAAAACGAGAAGUAGAAGAGGAAGGAUGAAACAAAGAAGGACAUUGGUAAACAUCCUUAGAGGACUUGUAGUCAAGCCCGGAGGGAAAGGACCGUGGAGCUGGAAAGUACAGCCAUGGCAUAUCUGCAGCUCCAGAUGUCUGAGGUGCCAGCUGGGGUAUGGGAGCAUCAGACCGAAGAGGUCACAGAAAUGGUGUGUUUAACCACAGUUUCCAGUACAGAAUCAGACACCUGUUGAGUCUUGGAGCUUUGUUCAAGAGCUGUGUUGAAUUUGUCCUUUUCCUAGCUGGAAGCGUCUCACAGAGCACAUUGCAGCUUUCUGGCCAAGAUUUCAAAGGUAUGAGACACUGUGUGGGCAGAAACUUGAGAAGUCACCUUUUCUGCAAUGGUCGUUCCACCAAAUCAAGAUGUUAACUGCGAGGAUUUCUCUCUUACGAAUGUGAAGUCAUUGCAGGGUGCCAGUCAUCUGUCUUUCACACAUGCAGCUUUGCUCUUCCAUUAAAAGGAAACGGGACUUCAAAAGCAAAAACAUGGGAGAAAAUCAGGAUCAGAGAUGUUAAGUUGGACGAGGACUUUGACACUUCAUGGAAGUACAGAAACUGUUGAUCCCCAAAAACACCACGAGGAGGAGAAGCAGGGCAUUCUUUUAGAGAAUUCUCAGAUUGCAAUUAAGUCUUCGAAGCUGGUACAUGAGAAGAAAGAAGGAAAAGUCAUAGUGGUUUUCAGUUUGUACUGGUCAGAAAGGUCUCUUAAGCUGCCCAAACCUAAUGGACAGUGUUGUAAGUUACAGAAAAUUCCCCUUUAUUUUCCCUUCUGCCAGGUUUCAGAUGACUAAAUCAAAAGUAAUCCUAAAACAAGAUGAGGCAAGAACGUGUUUUUGACCUAAAAAGUUGCUAUUUCUGUCCCUUAAGUGAUGUACACAGUCUGCAUCAACUCCUCUUGCUUUGGAGGCUGUGGUCCAAAAACCCCUCCCUGCAAGGGUUGGGUGAAACAUUUAAACUGAAUGAAGUAAUUGUUUUGCAUCUUAUCCUUUCAGAAAUGGAGACAAAAAAAAUUCUGGCUAAUAAUUGCACCUGCUAAUUAAUCUGUAGCAAUCCUUUGAUGUGUGUACUAGGACUGUUUAUUGUAGAUUAACCCCUGUGACUUAACCCACUCAAUAAAGCCCCUCUUCACUUUCUGGAACCUGACCUUGUCAACGCAUAUUCCCCCACAUCUCUUUUUUGUAUUUUCAGUAAGUGACUUUUCAAACUCCCAACUGGUGUCCCCCAUUCCAAAUGUCGCUUCAAAGACCAUCCUCUCUGUUUCUGUGGUCAGCAGUUGUCUCAAUCAGCGCUGUGUUUACUCACUGAAUGAAAACCAAGCUAAACAGUAUGUCCCUAGCCUGGAAUUCCUAUAGAAGGAGAGUGAAGGAAGAACAGCACCAUUGGAGUAUCUGCAUCCUUCACUGGUGAACUACUGAGUCCAGUUUGGGGCUCCAGUACACAAAGAAUGAGUUCAGUGGAGGCCAUGAAGGUGGUUGGGGCUGGGGCACGGUGCUGUCUCAUGAGGAGAGGCUGGAGGAACAGGGCUUGUUCAGCCAGGAGAAGAGGAGCAGCCUUCCAGUGGCUUUCAGGUCACUGAGGAGAUGGAGCCAGGCUCUUUUCAGGGGUGGGAAGAUGAGAACCAAUGGGCAGAAGUUGAAAUGAGAAGUCCAGCCUGGGUAUAAGGCGAAAUUUAAUCCCCACAAGGACAGCCCAGCAGCAGAGUAAGUUGCACAGGUUGUUGUGCGGUCUGGUUCCUCGGAAGUGCUCAGGACUAGUCUGGAUCAAGCCCUCACUUCACAGCUGACCCUGCUUUGGGCAGGAGUUUGAACUAGAUGAAGUGCUGAGGUCCCUUCCAACCUGCCUUCUCCUAUGAACCUGUGCAUGAUGUCAGUUGUUACUGAGUUCAGUUAUGGGAGUCAUGUUUGAGGAAUAUUCCACAAAUCCCAGCACUAUUCAGUGUACCCUGUCUCAGCAACUUCCUCAGGUUCUCUUACAUGUUGAGUUUGCUUGCUAGGCAGUUUCACAUGAAGAAACGAUUGUUCUAUUCGAUGAUGGAGGAUAAAUCAGAGUAUGUGUGCCCGUAUUCCCAAACACACCUUGGGUAUGUGACAGAACCACAGCACCAGGGACACAGGUGAGCCCCAGGUGUAAGCAGCACUGCCUGGAGUGAACUUGCAUGACAAAGACUGCUCAGUGCCUGAUAACUGACGUGGGAGGGUGAAUGUUUCUCCAUUUAUACAAUCAUUGGAUGAUCAACUAGCAAAUUAGGAAAAGGAGAUGUAGUGAGAAGAUAUGUUCAGGCUUUGUUUAUUAAGUCUUUAUUUAAAUUUGUGAUAGGAGACAAAAUUUCCUGAAACAGUUCAAAGAUUCAUUCCAUAAAUUGGAAGUUACUGCAGCGUGGCAGAAGAUUGUAUUCUAGCAUGCUCCACAGAGCUCAAAUGGGGAAAUUGUCUGUAUUUCAGUGUAAGAGUAUUGAGCUGGACUUGCAGCUCAAAAUCGAUGAAAACUGACUAAAAAUACUCUGAAGAAUGUGCCAUGGAAAUUGUCUUUUUUGAUAGGGGAAGGUAGAUAGUUGCUAGAGAAGGAGCUGUAAGCUCACACCCCACACCCUCUGGCACCACUUCCCUAUCAGGAAGGGCAGAGGGGAGGCAAUUUCACUCUCAUGGAAAGUUUUGAAAAUGGGAUGUGAUUCACACACACUGAAAGUUGUGCAGACAUAGGCAAGACUGGCCUAAUUGUAGUGCUUAGCAAGGAGUCCUUAAAAACAAUUGAGGUAGUAAAUCGGUGCCUAUAGAUAAAGCAGAGCCAUAAAAUUACCUGAGAAACCCCCUGUCUGCAUGCAGGAAACAUGGAAAGCAGGUCAGCAUGCUUUGGUUUUGUGUAGACUAAGGUACACUGUCCAAAGUGUGACACCUGAAUGUGCAGGAAACCACUGAGUAGAUAAAGGCAGGUGUAAGGAAGAAAGACUCAGAGGUCACCAAUAAAGAGAAGCACCUAAGUUUUACUGAAGUUGUUCCAACAGUGCUGUGCAUUCUGGAGCAAAAACACCAAAGUUUUUAGAUUCAGAACUCAAGUUACUUCUAUGCUUCAAUGUUCUGUUCUUCAUUUUUUUCAAAACCAGUAUUCAAAUCUCUUCUGUUACCUGUCCUUGGUGAGAGAGUCUACUGGCCUCGCCCAGUGCUCUGUUACUGAAAUUGGAGUUUCUUCUUCAGACCGUGCUUUAAAGUAAAGAAGACAUUUGCAACUCUGUAGUUCACUGUUAUUUUGCACACAGUAAUCUCGCAGUCAUUUUUUUUUUCCUGCUCUGCUGUGACAAGCAUGGAUUGCAGGAGCAGAAGUACCAAAGACUGUUCUAUACCUUUUCCUGAUCCACAUGGCAGCUUUUCCUUAUGCUCCACACAGGGACAUCUUCAGUGGAGUGAAAUGAUGCCCAGGAGUGCAGGACACAGAGCCCAGCUUGUGAUGGCCACAUGCAGGACACCAGGGUUUAGGCCCAAUCAAUUGCUGAUUGCUAUUUUGUUCUUUUUUUUGCUGCAAUUUUUUCUUUGCUGCUGCAGCUGUGGCUGAGGAUCUCAAGGGUGAGUCAGGGCGUGUCAGCAAUUGCUUCUGCCUCAGCCAACGUGCAGCCAGGCACAACAGUCUGGCUAAUAGAUUGUCGGAUGGCUUUGGUCCUCCCUCACUUCCUCAUCCCUGGGAAUUUUGGAGAGGGUGACUGAUGAGGGAAUUCUGUUCUUUCUGCAUGUCUUGAGUUUGGCCUAAGUUACAGCGAGCAGACAGGAAGGAAUGGGUUUACUGGCACGUCUGUGCAAAUUUAGCACUCUCCUUAACUUUCAUUUUCUCAGAUGGUCAGAUUGGGAAAUUUUCCACCCUGCCCUGCCAUCAUUUGACAUUCAGUCUUCCACUGGAGAGCGGGACAUGGCAGAUAAAACAUUGCACUUUCCAUACUAAACUGCUGCUUUAAGCAUACCUUAAAUCUGCAGAAUCUAAAAAGGAGUCCAGACAGGGCUGGGAUCCUACUUUGAUUUGCAUAUUUUCAAGUGCCAAGGCCUGGAUCUUUUAUUUUGCUUUUAGUAGAGUUAUUAUCCCAGUUUAUCAAGAACAUUUUGAAAUAAUAAGCCAAUGAAGAAGGGGCUGCAGUUAAUGGUGGAUAUCUUAAAGCCCUUAAAGAGUUGCCAUCUUACAAAAGUCUGGGGAAAGAUUCAAACCAAACAAAUUUUCUUUGGGAAGUGAAAAACCAAAGCAGUGUAAAAGGAGAUGACUGAUGGUAGUCAAUGAGAGGAGAUAUUUGGGAAGAGCAAUAGUUAUUACUGUUACUAAUUGUACCUUUGUCAGAAACCACCAAACGUGAGGGACGUCCUAACAAAUCUGAGAUGCGGAGUGUUUACAGGAGUGCAGUACUGUAUUUAUUGCAGUCAUGUGCAGCAGUGCUGCAAGAGAUAUCUCAGGCAAUAGUUACAUUAGUUAGGAAAGGGAAUUAGAGCUCACUAAUAACCUCUGAAAUGUUGGGACAGUUAAAUAUCUCUUUGGUUUCCGUGAAUUUGGGAAAAUCUGCCCUCAUUGUCAUCUACUUUGCCUCAGUGUAGCAGUUCUUUGAAGACUCAAAAUGCCCUGAUCUCAGAGGAGCAGCAUUACAACCAGAGCUUGAUUUGUAAAAGUGUUCUAGGAGUAUGACUUCUUGAGCUCAUGCAGAAUCUUGCAGAUAUGAUGUGUAUUAUAAUAUCAGACACAGAAUGUGACUCACUUGGAAGGAAAUUGCAGAGAGCCGAUUGUUGAGGCUACAGACCAUCGGACAUGCAGAAACAAAACAAAAUUUAACUCAACAUGACAGCAUUGAAUAGGUCAAAGUCUGCUCUGAAAGGGCACCUCUUUCAUCAAAGUUAAUGCAAGGAAAUUAACCAGCUUUUGCACUCUGAUAUGGCAAAGGAAGAAGCGUCUGUGCAAAAGUAGGAAAUAUGGGCAGAAUUAGUUUUCUGAAGGAAAAACUUUCCAAGCCCUGUAGAAUAUUUGUGGAAGGAGUGCCCAGUGAGCUUGUUUAGUUAAUCUCUGGUCCACCUGAGGAAUGAAUGGUUCUCUCUUGUUCUUACUGUACAGAGGGAGUUUUAUUAUUGAUUUCAAGUGAGUAAAAAAACAGGUCCUGUCUGAGCAACUGGAGUGAUUAAGCAGUUCCCUGAAUGGCUGUACCUCAGCCAAUCCUUUUAACAAUUCUCCUAAGGAAAGAUGUUUCUCCUCUGGUAAUCCCAAAUCUUGAUUUUUCCUAUCCAAUCCCUACAUGGCCUUUCCUAGAUGUCAGCAAUCCCAAGCACAGGGAAAUAAGGAGGGUGAACACUAAAAGCUUAGAACCCGCUGAAUUCAGAUAAAAUUCUGCUAAGAUAUGUUCUUUCUUAUAGUUCUAGACUUUAAGAUUCUCCAUGUUCUAUAGACAAAAGAGGUGAAUAAGAAAGGGAAAGAUGCAAAGAGAAUUUUUAAAACACUGCUACAAAGUAGCAAAUGCAAAGAAGAAUGUACAGGCAGAAUUUUCUGGCAUGGCGUUAAGUGGCAUAGCUCUCACACAUGGUUUCUGCCUGCUGAUUACAUCUGCCUGAUGAUUGGAAUAUUUUGACAAAGGGAUUCACCUGCUAAUUCUGGUGAGAGGAAAAGCACCACAUUAAAGAAAAAUCCAUCUGAAAAUUCAUGAACAGUGGAUGCUAAGCAGCACAGGCUUGAUAAAGCCAAGGAGAUGAGUGGUCAGAAAGCUCAGGUCUGUUUAUCAAGAGAUUCAUCUCUAGCCAUCCUGGAUGGGAUGCAUACAGUGGAUCUCGUGCAUGACCACGUGUGCUUUGCCUCAAGAAAUGCUUUACACAAACACCUAAUGUUCAUUUUCAAAUAGAGAAGCUAGACACAGAGAGAAGAAAACACCUUGUCCAAGCUUGCCCAGUAAAAGAGUGACAGAUGAGAGAAGAACACACAUUUCCUCAUUUCUCUGGCUGCCUUAUGCCUCAUUUCUGUAGGUCUUCAGUCAGCAACGGUAAAUCUUUCCCUAGUUAUCAGUGUACCUCAUUUGACUCAUAUUAGUCAGCAGAUUUAUAUGUCAUCUUUAAUUUGUAAAUAGUUUCCUUAGAGUAGCCAUACACAAUAUCAAUAAACAAAUAACGCAGGUCAAAAUCCUCGUUGGGGCACCAUCUGGCACCACACUCACGGGCUGCAGGUGCCCGACAGCACUGGGCACUGCUGCCAGUCCUGUCCCAAGGGUGUUCUGCCUUCCAGCCUGCAGGGAGAAGCCUGGUUUUGUAAAAUGUACGUGUCCACGUGUUGUCUGACACUGAAAAUCAGCUCAGCAAUCCCAUCUUCCUCAUCCAGCUGUCCCCCUGAUAUUCCCACAAAUAGCAUGGUGGCAAUGGUUUGCACUUCAGGAAGUUGCAGUUUCCUUCCAGUAUUCCCAAUACUUUGGAAAAGCACCAAGGAACAAAUCUCACAGGCAGCAACAGGCAGAACAGGGAGCUCUGGAGAGCAAGAAAUUCUACAAAUAUUCUAUUGAGAAAGAUCCUUUAAAUGUGAUCAAAAGGAAGGAAGUAUGCAAAACUUAAAAUACCCUAUAAGCACAUAGUUAAAUGCUUCCCUG